GGCGCACGCGCAUCCCAAGACGAACUUUGACCAUAAAAAUUGAGCAACAAAAUCUUGAUUAUAAUAUAUGUAAUUAGUAUCGUUGGAUUCGUAUUGAAAAGCACUUUUUAAUGAUAUUAAUUUCAUACAAACAAUCUUUAUCUAUUUAAAGUAAUUCUUGGUCAAACAAAAAGCUCGUGAAACGAGGGCGCCUUAUUCCUUGAAAUGGAGGUAGUAGAUAUCACCGUCGCUCUCAUCCUCUCAAUCUCUCAACCAUUCUCUCCCGGCGAUCCCCUCAACGGAGGGAAGCGGCAGAGGCGGCAACGUUUUUUAUCAACCUGGAUCAACACGGCCGGGCCGGCGAGGGGAGGAGCGGCGGCGGCGUUCUUUAUCAACCUGAAUCAACACGGCCGGGCCGGCGAGGGGAGGAGCGGUGGUGUUGGUCGUGGCCGGCGAGGAGAGGAGCGGCGGCGGCGUUGAGUGGCUGUCCCCCGCCGGAGCUAGGCGAGAAAGGAGCGGGCGGCGGCGUUGAGUGGCUGUCCCCCGCCGGAGCUAGGCGAGAAAGGAGCGGGCGGCGGCGCCGCAACUUCACAUCCCGGAUCCAUCCGAACCACAUGAAGAUUCGUGGAGUGUUGUUGCCCCUUCAGGCUACCUGAUGUUGGGCCGAGAGCCUUGGACGAAGAUAGGUCAUCGCCAUGAACGUGUCAACAUGUGUGUUUGCUAGAGUGGAAAACCGUGUUCUUAGUGACAUCUACUUCACUUUUUUACAUAUCAAAAGGAUCGAACGAUUAAAAGCCUUUUAUCUAUGUUGAUAAAUUUAUUCUCUUAUAAAUUUUCAUGUUUUUCCCAAUUCGGUACAUUUGUAACAAACCAUGGUGUUCAAAAUAUUUGUACCUCGUGAUGUGUCUGCAGAA